UACGUAGGGGGCAAGCGUUGUCCGGAAUUAUUGGGCGUAAAGAGCGUGUAGGCGGUUAUACAGGUCCGCUGUGAAAACUGGAGGCUUAACCUCCAGACGUCGGUGGAAACCGUAUAACUAGAGUCCGGAAGAGGAGAGUGGAAUUCCUGGUGUAGCGGUGGAAAUGCGCAGAUAUCAGGAAGAACACCCGUGGCGAAGGCGGCUCUCUGGGACGGUACUGACGCUGAGACGCGAAAGCGUGGGGAGCGAACAGG
rnacentral:rRNA from 1 species